GGAUCCAAGGAGGUCUUGAAUGAGCUGAGUGGGAC
rnacentral:tRNA from 1 species